rnacentral:piRNA from 2 species
AGCAGGUCUCCAAGGUGAA